GCCCCGCUAGCUCAAUUGGCAGAGCAUCGGCCUUUUAAGCCGUUGGUUGCGCGUUCGAGUCGCGCGCGGGGCA
rnacentral:tRNA from 1 species